rnacentral:rRNA from 1 species
CGCGAAACCUUUACACUGCACGCAAGUGCGAUAAGGGGACCCCGAGUGCGAGGGCAUACAGUCCUCGCUUUUGUACACCGUAAGGAGGUGUACGAAUAAGGGCUGGGCAAGACCGGUGCCAGCCGCCGCGGUAAUACCGGCAGCCCGAGUGAUGGCCGCUACUAUUGGGCCUAAAGCGUCCGUAGCCGGCCGGACAAGUCCGUCGGGAAAUCCGCACGCUCAACGUGCGGGCGUCCGGCGGAAACUGUCCGGCUUGGGGCCGGAAGAUCCGAGGGGUACGUCCGGGGUAGGAGUGAAAUCCCGUAAUCCUGGACGGACCGCCGGUGGCGAAAGCGCCUCGGAAGGACGGACCCGACGGUGAGGGACGAAAGCUAGGGUCUCGAACCGGAUUAGAUACCCGGGUAGUCCUAGCCGUAAACGAUGCUCGCUAGGUGUGGCACAGGCUACGAGCCUGUGCUGUGCCGUAGGGAAGCCGUGAAGCGAGCCGCCUGGGAAGUACGUCCGCAAGGAUGAAACUUAAAGGAAUUGGCGGGGGAGCACUACAACC